CGCCGCCGCCGCCUGGCGGUGUGUAAGGUGGAUAAGUAGAAGGUGGUGGAAUUGUUACCGGAGGGUUUGUGACAGGAGGAGUAAUUACCGGAGGAUGUGUAAUUGGAGGGACUGUGACUGGUGGUGGAGGAAAAAUGAUUGGAGGGGCAAUAAUUGGCGGCCUUUUGGAUGGUGGUGAUAAUUUCGGGGGGUGACCUCCAUGAUGUGGCGGGUGUUUGGUGCGUGGUGGGUUCGGGUGGGGAAUUUUCGGAUGAGUCUUCGGAGGGCU
rnacentral:lncRNA from 1 species